GGAAGUGACGUUAUCGAGAGAGACCGCCUCAGUCUCAGCGGGUUCCGCCCACUUUCUCCGCGACUUUAGGUAUCUGGAGUUACGGGGAAGCUCCGGAAAGAGCAGGAAAAUCUCUGAACCCAAAUAAUCCCCAAGAAAUCAAAUCAAAUCAAAGAAAUACCCUAGUUAUAUUGUUGCCAAAACUCUUUAGAAGUUUAGGAGGAUCCGAGUUCAAAUUCUUCUACUUAUACACCGGCUUCUCAAGCUAGGGUCCUUGGCAAACUAUCAAGCAGGAGCAUUGAGAGAACAAUCUGAAAUCCUACUAAUGUGUAAGGAGUUGAAAAAUAAAAUGGAAUGGAUAAAGCAGAAUGAGGAGAAGUUGAUCAUUGGUGGAGCAGGUUUGGGUCAAUAAGACAGAACUGCAAGAAGGCUUCCCUUUCAGGAGCUUAUACAAUACCUGCUUUGUGGGUAAACAAAGAACUGACCUUUAUAUCAGUGUCAGCCUUUCAACUUUAAGGAACAUAUGUAUUUUCCAGGUAAUUACAAUUAAAAUUACAGAAAGGGAUUUUUAAUAGCUUUGUUAUCAAGAAAUAAAUUAAGGUUUUCCUUGAAAUCCUAGUUAACUACAUGAGAAAAGAAUCUGAACUACUGUUUUCACUCUAAGAGAAACAAAGAAACCUUUAUAUCCCUGGAGCACCAAUAUUUUCCUUAGAACCUUUCUACCUACUCGUUUCAAAACAAAGCAAAAUAAAAUAGCCUUAAAUGAAGCCAGACAAAAAAUGACUGUCAUCACAAGUUCAAUCAUCUGUCCUAGCUAGUGAGUGGUGAGUUUGCUGGUUUUCUGAAAACAUUAAAAAGAUAUGAUUGGCAUA